CCUUUGACGUUAGCGGCGGACGGGUGAGUAACACGUGGGUAACCUACCUAUAAGACUGGGAUAACUUCGGGAAACCGGAGCUAAUACCGGAUAAUAUUUCGAACCGCAUGGUUCGAUAGUGAAAGGUGGUUUUGCUAUCACUUAUAGAUGGACCCGCGCCGUAUUAGCUAGUUGGUAAGGUAACGGCUUACCAAGGCUACGAUACGUAGCCGACCUGAGAGGGUGAUCGGCCACACUGGAACUGAGACACGGUCCAGACUCCUACGGGAGGCAGCAGAC
rnacentral:rRNA from 1 species